ensembl:lncRNA
AGUUGGGGGCGGGACCGAGGGCCGCCGAGCGCAAGGAGGAGACUGAGGAGCAGAGAAGUAACAGCGGGUAAUGUUUCAAGGGAUGACUAAGAGAAGAUGUCAGCGGACUUGAAGAGCUGUCAGCUCCAUUAGGGGAGAUGAGCGAAGGCUGACUCUCUGCCAGCUGCAGUUCCCUCUGCCUGGAAUGCUGUUCCCCCAAGACCCCAGGUGGCUCCUUCUCCAUCUUGCUCCGAAGUCUUCUCCUGAGCGGUGAGGCAGAUUUCCUGAUGAGCACGGCUCCCUUCUCGGAAGCACUUUGUCUCCUGUACUAGAACGCCAGCUCCACAAGGGCAAGGCGGUUGUUGAUCUUAUUUCUCUCUGUCCCCUCCUAUCUGACACUGUGCCUGGCACAUGGUGGAUGUUCCCAGGAAGUUUCUGGAAUGAGCAGAUGUCUGGGUGUUUCAUUCUCCCAACAGCUGCAAGAGAAGGACUCUAAAGACCCCAUGGAAAGAUGGGCUCUGAGGGUUACAGUGCUGGCCAGAGGUCCCAUAGCCAGGACCUGAGCUCAUUCUGCACAUGAUGCGCUCCUUCUUAACUCAUCACACCCAGCAGCAGACCCAAGGCCCUGGGACCAUGAGAACUGCCUCUGCCCGGGGAAGACCAGCUCACCUGGUCUUCAAGCCCCCACUGCCCUAGCCCGGGGUCGGUUACCUGCACGGCACCCCUGGACAAGGAAGCUCUGGGCCUACCAGCUGAGCUAGAUCUGUCAGCCCUUUUGUUUUUAGAAGCUUCUGGGGGGCCUUGUGGCCAGGCGUUGAAACAAAGGUGUCUGUGUUUCCCUAAGUCCAUUUGGAUUUCAUCCUACUUGCGUUUCACAGGAGGGAAAAUCUACAUUUUUCAUCCAAGAUGAUGCCUUAUCUGACAAGCAUGUGCUGUGAUGGGACUGUAGGUGCUGUGGCUGAAAGGCACCCCCAGGUCUAGAGAAGAGGUUGUUUCAGAUUCCCCUGUGAGCUGGAAGUGGUGGGAGGAGAGCAGGCUUCCUUAUCCCAGUGUCAUGACCAGGCCAAGCCAGCCCUGCACCCUCUUCACCAAGGCCCUGCCUAGCUCUGCUCCCAGGGUGGGCUGGGCUGGGAAACAAGUCAGGGGGUCCAUAGUACAGCUGGGGGCCCCUCCUUCAGGGGAAAGGCACAAUCGUGCUUCUCAGGAACCAGCUUCAGAUGGAGCCCAGAGGGGCGGGAGGGAGGGGACUGGUCUUCCCUCCUACCACACUGGCAUUCUUUCCUCAAAACCUUGCAAAAUAUGACUGUGCGGCUCCCUGCUGUGGCCCAGCACUUGUGGCAUCAUUGAAAUGCCAGUAGGGGCUGGCACCGGGCCGCCCACGGCCCCAGCAGGCACUGUCCCUGCUGCCCUGGGCUAUGAGGAGCCGAGCGGGUGGGCCCCUCCCACUUCGUCUGAGGCUCAAGAAUGCUGUCAUCUGGCCACCCACAGCUUUAUCAGUGUGGCCUUUCUCAGGAUCACUGGGACAAAGGGCGUGGGCGUCUUCAGGACUCUGGGGGAUUCUGGGAAUGUCUCCGCCUUCCCAAAUCGCCAGUUCCCGGAGCAGGACAGGAACCUCACCCACCUCCUUACUAAAGGAGAAACUGAGGCCCAGAGCGGGGUAGGGACUUGUCUGAGGUCAUGCCUGCUUUGUUGGUGAGAAUUGGACCUUAUUUACCAUUUCUGGGUCACAGGCUCCUUUGACAAUGUGAAGGAAAUUCUAGACCAUUACUCCGAUGCCCAAGGGCCAGGCCUGCAGUGUCGAUGGCUGGUAUGGCCUGCUGAGCAUGGGCUUUGUCUGGAGCCCAUGUCCCCCACCUCUGGCUCACUGUGGCCCUGCAGGGCACCCAGUCGUCCAGUGUUUCAGAGGAGCCAAUGAGCCAUCUUUCUGUGUGAAAACUACUCAUGUUCAAAUGUUGGCAAUGCAUUAAAAAUGUAAAACUAGG